rnacentral:rRNA from 1 species
GACGAACGCUGGCGGCGUGCUUAACACAUGCAAGUCGAACGGAAAGGCCCUGCUUUUGUGGGGUGCUCGAGUGGCGAACGGGUGAGUAACACGUGAGUAACCUGCCCUUGACUUUGGGAUAACUCCAGGAAACUGGGGCUAAUACCGGAUAGGAGCUCCUGCUGCACGGUGGGGGUUGGAAAGUUUCGGCGGUUGGGGCUGGACUCGCGGCUUAUAAGCUUGUUGGGGGGGUAGUGGCUUACCAAGGGUUUGACGGGUAGCCGGCCUGAGAGGGUGACCGGCCACAUUGGGACUGCGAGACGGCCCAGACUCCUACGGGAGGCAGCAGUGGGGAAUAUUGCACAAUGGGCGGAAGCCUGAUGCAGCAACGCCGCGUGCGGGAUAACGGCCUUCGGGUUGUAAACCGCUUUCGCCUGUGACGAAGCGUGAGUGACGGUAAUGGGUAAAGAAGCACCGGCUAACUACGUG